UCAACUCAAGCGGUGCGCUCAGUAUCGGAUGGACCUCCUUCGUUACUUAUUGAGCAUUGAAGUUUACUCGUAGAAGCAAACCUUAACCCUCUAAACUGAAUGAGAAGGAUUUGCCACAUAAAGAUGUGAUCGGCAAAGCACUAGAGGCGACGAUUGAAUUUUCUCUAUCCAAAGGUAACCAUGGUUGACGGAGGAAGAAUAAUGAUUCCAAGCACCACCCUCCUUUUGAAGCUUCCAGUCUGUCAUUCGAACUCGAUCAGCAUGACAGAGUGAUCUCCAGCCUUGCCGUUGUCAACACUCAAAUCAAAUUGUAUUUGUCACAUACACAUGGUUAGCAGAUGUUAAUGCGAGUGUAGCGAAAUGCUUGUGCUUCUAGUUCCGACAAUGCAGUAAUAACCAACGAGUAAUCUUGCUAACAAUUCCAAAACUACUACCUUAUACACACAAGUGUAAAGGGAUAAUGAAUAUGUACAUAAAGAUAUAUGAAUGAGUGAUGGUACAGAGCGGCAUAGGCAAGAUGCAGUAGAUGGUAUCGAGUACAGUAUAUACAUAUGAGAUGAGUAUGUAAACAAAGUGGCAGAGUAAAAGUGGCUAGUGAUACAUGUAUUACAUAAAGAUGCAGUAGAUGAUAUAGAGUACAGUAUAUAUGUAUACAUAUGAGAUAAAUAAUGUAGGGUAUGUAAACAUUAUAUUAAGUAGCAUUGUUUAAAGUGGCUAGUGAUAUAUUUUUACAUCAAUUCCCAUCAAUUCCCAUUAUUAAAGUGGCUAAUGAUUCGAGUCUGUAUGUAGGCAGCAGCCUCUGUGUUAGUGAUGGCUGUUUAACAGUCUGAUGGCCUUGAGAUAGAAGCUGUUUUUCAGUCUCUCGGUCCCAGCUUUGAUGCCUUCCUGUGACAUUGGGUGGUGUAGGUGUCCUGGAGGGCAGGUAGUUUGCCCCCAGUGAUGCGUUGUGCAGAUCUCACUACCCUCUGGAGAGCCUUACGGUUGUGGGCGGAGCAGUUGCCAUACCAGGCGGUGAUAAACCCAACAGGAUGCUCUCGAUUGUGCAUCUGUAGAAGUUUGAGUGCUUUUGGUGACAAGCCAAAUUUCUUCAGCCUCCUGAGCUUGAAGAGGCGCUGCUGCGCCUUCUUCACGAUGCUGUCUGUGUGGGUGGACCAAUUCAGUUUGUCUGUGAUGUGUACACCGAGGAACUUAAAACUACCCUCCAUUACUGUUCCACACCUGUGUUAACGAGAGAAUCACUGACAUGAUGUCAGCUGGUCCUUUUGUGGCAGGGCUGAAAUGCAGUGGAAAGGUUUAUUUGGGGAUCCAGUUAAUUUGCAUGGCAAAUAUGGACUUUGCAAUUAAUUGCAAUUCAUCUGAUCACUCAUCAUAACAUUCUGGAGUGUAUGCAAAUUGCCGACAUAAAAACUGAGGCAGCAGACUGUGAAAAUUAAUAUUUAUGUCAUUCUCAAAACCUUUGGCCACAACUGUACAUUUGCUAAAAGUGCAUCACAACCUCAGAAAAGGUGCCAGGGUAUUCGUGCCUUUCUUUCCAUCCAUUCAAUGCCAUUAAAAUCCUUAGAGUGCA